UUAUUCAUUUUGUUCUCCUUUUUGGUGCCUGAAAAUGGGUCCAAUUUUCUGGUAUUAUUGUUUCAUUCAAUAAUUCUUUCUUCUUUUUGGUUUGGUAAGUGGACACCUUUUCGUACCCAAAAAGAGAAUUUGCUUUACUUAACAUAAGAACCCUCUCUCCUUUUCCCCCUUUCUUCAUGUCUAUUGGGGUUUUUCAGAUUCAUGAUUGUUCUUUCUUUUCCUUUUUCUCUGGGUUUCUACUGUUUUGAUCUGCAUAUAUAUACAUAUGUGUGUGUUUUUGUGUAGUCAAGGAAUGAAGCCUAGGAGGGAUUUGGUACGAAAAUCAUAAAGCGAUAUUGGUGAGGUUCAAUCCGAAGAUGGAUUUUACAACGAUUGUGAAGUACGAUCUCUGAUUGAGCCGCGCCAAUAUCACUUUUGUAUUAUAUUGCCUUUCUUCUUCUAUAGGGUUUUUCUAUUUCAUUCGAACCCUAAUUUUUUGUUUUUUUUUUAUUGUUUUUCUCAACCAACACACGGAUAUCAGAAAGCCAGUUAAUCAUCAUGAUCAUCAGCACAACGCGCUUAAUCUGAUCACAAACGUGCCAUCAGUUGUUGAAUGUGGACCUUUUAAAGUACAUCAAGCUGAUCUUUGAUUUGAUAACCAAGCAAAAACUAAGAUAGUUUCUGAAGAUCAACGUGAAAAAGCUUAUUGUGAAGGCUUGCAAGUGCUGAAGCUUCAUCUCAUCAGCCUCCAUGGCCAUCCUUUUUCAAUAAUCUUGUGAUUGUUGAAAAUCCGGAGGAAGCAAUUAAAGGGAAAAGGUUUGCGGAUCAAAAUGCAGAGAGUAACGCUCAACUGUCUUGGUGCCGGUGGAUUGGCAGCGACGGAGGAGGAGGAGGAGUGCGAUUGCGUGGGCAUGCAGUUGGUGUUGGAUUGAUUGAGGUGAGAGGGGAGGAAGACAGCCACGUAAGGGAGGAAAAGUGUGUGAUAAUUAGGGCAGAGGGAAAAAGAUGACACCUGAAUAUUUCAGAUCUGGUAGGAGGGUUUGGAAGGGUAUCUUGAACGUCAUACAAUGGCGUCGGCACUUGUUCCUUACUCUCCCAACUGGCGACGAUGAGUUUAGUGUCUUCAGAUACACUUUCUUCCGACCAUGUCUCUCUCUCAAUUGUCCUUUUAUGCAUUGGAAAAUAUUUCUUUUCUCGUAGUGUACAUCAUAAUUGUUAUACUUUAUAUAACCCAUAAAAGUAAGAUAUCAAUAUGAUAAAAAUCACAAAAUAUACUACUCAUAUUAAAUAGUAAGAUUGCAUGUA